rnacentral:rRNA from 1 species
UGGGUACCUACCCCGAGGUGAGGGAUACCGGCGAGAAAUCGCCGACAAUACCGCAUAGGCUCUCUGGCAACGGGGAGCAAAGUCUGGUGCAAGCCAGGCGCCUGGGGAUGGGCCUGUGGCCGAUUAGCUAGCUGGUGGGGUAACGGCUCACCAGGGCGACGAUCGGUAGCUGGUCUGAGAGGACGAUCAGCCACACUGGGAUUGAGAACGGCCCAG